UCUUUCAUGCAGUUUCCAUCCAUCAAAUCCACUCACAAGGCUUUGGUCAACCUAGGGCUAUAGAAGACAUUUGCCCAGGUUGCUGCGCAGUGGGAUUGAACUGCAAACCACUUGGUUGCAAAGCGUGCUUCGUGAUGGCACAGCCCUGCCUCCACCUAUGUUGUUUUGGAACAAUGAAAUGAAGUCGGGUGAGGCAGAACCAACAUCCACAGUCAAUCAUGGAACGCAAAGAGGUGCAUCGGAAGAGCAUC